rnacentral:tRNA from 1 species
GCUCAGCUGGAUAGAGCAACGGACUUCUAAUCCGUAGGUCGGGGGUUCGAAUCCCUCCGGGGACGCCA